rnacentral:rRNA from 1 species
UGGGGAAUUUUGGACAAUGGGGGCAACCCUGAUCCAGCCAUGCCGCGUGAGUGAAGAAGGCCUUCGGGUUGUAAAGCUCUUUCGGCCGGAACGAAAUCGCAUUCUUUAAUAGAGGGUGUGGAUGACGGUACCGGAAGAAGAAGCACCGGCUAACUACGUGCCAGCAGCCGCGGUAAUACGUAGGGUGCGAGCGUUAAUCGGAAUUACUGGGCGUAAAGCGUGCGCAGGCGGUUACAUAAGCCAGAUGUGAAAUCCCCGGGCUUAACCUGGGAACUGCAUUUGGGACUGUGUGGCUUGAGUAUGGCAGAGGGAGGUGGAAUUCCACGUGUAGCAGUGAAAAUGCGUAGAGAUGUGAGGAACACCGAUGGCGAAGGCAGCCUCCUGGGCCAAUACUGACGCUCAUGCACGAAAGCGUGGGGAGCAAACAGG